rnacentral:rRNA from 1 species
AGCGUUGCUCGGAAUCACUGGGCGUAAAGGGCGCGUAGGCGGACUUUUAAGUCGGGGGUGAAAGCCCAGGGCUCAACCCUGGAAUUGCCUUCGAUACUGAGAGUCUUGAGUUCGGAAGAGGUUGGUGGAACUGCGAGUGUAG